GACCGGCGCACGGGUGAGUAACACGUAUGCAACCUGCCUACAACCGGGGGAUAGCCCGGCGAAAGUCGGAUUAAUACCGCAUAACACAGGGGCUCCGCAUGGAGAUAUUUGUUAAAACUGAGGUGGUUGUAGAUGGGCAUGCGUUCCAUUAGCUAGUUGGUAAGGUAACGGCUUACCAAGGCAACGAUGGAUAGGGGAACUGAGAGGUUUAUCCCCCACACUGGAACUGAGACACGGACCAG
rnacentral:rRNA from 1 species